rnacentral:rRNA from 1 species
GGAUUAGGCAUGCAAGUCGAACGAGGGAGUAUUCCGAAAGGGGUACAAACCGAGUGGCGUAAGGGUGAGUAAUGCAUUGAUAACCUGCCUUUGAGAUGGGAACAACAGCGUUCCAGCAAUUGGAGCUACCGAAAGGGCUGCUAAUACCCAAUAAAACUAUUAUUGCUUGGUGAUGAUAGUCAAACGUGCGGAAUCGAAAGGUUCCAUUUGCUCAAAGAGGGGUCAAUGUCCUAUCAGCUUGUUGGUGGGGUAAUGGCCUACCAAGGCGAAGACGGGUAGCCGGCCUGAGAGGGUGGUCGGCCACACUGGGACUGAGACACUGCCCAGACUCCUACGGGAGGCUGCAGUCGAGAAUCUUUCGCAAUGCCCGAAAGGGUGACGAAGCGACGCCGCGUGCGGGAAGAAGGCCUUCGGGUUGUAAACCGCUGUCGGGAGUUAGGAAGUGCAAGGAUGUUAAUAGCGUUCUUGCUUGACUAGGCUCCGAGGAAGCACGGCUAACUCUGUGCCAGCAGCCGCGGUAAUACAGAGGCGUGCGAAGCGUUGUUCGGAAUUAUUGGGCGUAAAGAGCACGUAGGCGGCUGUGAUAAGUCAGGUUGUGAAAGCCUUCCGCUUAACGGAAGAACGGCAUCCGAUACUGUCAUAGCUUGAGUACAGGAGGGGAGAGUGGAAUUCCUGGUGGAGCGGUGAAAUGCGUAGAUAUCAGAAGGAACGCCGGCGGCGAAAGGACUCUCUGGUCCGUAACUGACGCUGAGUGUGCGAAAGCUAGGGGAGCAAACGGGAUUAGAUACCCCGGUAGUCCUAGCCGUAAGCGAUGGGCACUAAGUAGAGGGGUUUU